GUAGCUCAGUGGUAGAGAACUUGCCUUACAAGCAUGAGGCCCUGGGUUCGAUUCCUCAGC
rnacentral:tRNA from 1 species